CGAAAGCCUGACGGAGCAAGACCGCGUGGGGGAAGAAGGCUCUUGGGUUGUAAACCCCUUUUCUCUGGGAAGAAAGUUGUGAAAGCAACCUGACGGUACCAGAGGAAUCAGCAUCGGCUAACUCCGUGCCAGCAGCCGCGGUAAGACGGAGGAUGCAAGCGUUAUCCGGAAUGAUUGGGCGUAAAGCGUCCGCAGGUGGCAGUUCAAGUCUGCUGUCAAAGACCGGGGCUUAACUUCGGAAAGGCAGUGGAAACUGAACAGCUAGAGUAUGGUAGGGGCAGAGGGAAUUCCUGGUGUAGCGGUGAAAUGCGUAGAGAUCAGGAAAAACAUCGGUGGCGAAGGCGCUCUGCUGGACCAUAACUGACACUCAGGGACGAAAGCUAGGGGAGCG
rnacentral:rRNA from 1 species